AUACUGUCAUGGCAUCAUAUAUUCUAAAAUUGGAACAAUACAGAGAUUAAGCAUGGCCCCUGUGCAAGGAUGACACAAAAAUUCAUGAAGAGUUCCAAAUUUUU
rfam:Octopus bimaculoides Scaffold167491_contig_5, whole genome shotgun sequence.